rnacentral:rRNA from 1 species
AUUGGUAGAGGAGCAUUGUAUACGGGACGAAGCAGUACCGAUAAGGAGCUGUGGACUGUAUAGAAGAGAGAAUGCCGGAAUGAGUAGCGAGAGGAAGGUGAGAAUCCUUCCGGCCGAAUAUCUAAGGUUUCCAGAGUAAAGCUGAUCUGCUCUGGGUAAGUCGGGGCCUAAGGCCAGGUCGAAAGACGUAACCGAUGGACAACAGGUUGAAAUUCCUGUACCUUAAGUAAACAGAACUGUGGGGACACGUGUGGAGAGCACAAGCCGGAAAUGGAAAAGCCGGUGCAAGCGAGGUAGGAG